UACGGAGGGGGUUAGCGUUGUUCGGAAUGACUGGGCGUAAAGCGCGCGUAGGCGGAUCAUCAAGUCGGGGGUGAAAUCCCGGGGCUCAACCCCGGAACCGCCGUUGAUACUGGUGGGCUUGAGUAUGGACGAGGUUGGCGGAAUUGAGGGUGUAGCGGUGAAAUGCUUAGAUACCCUCAAGAACACCGAUUGCGUAGGCAGCUAACUAGGCCAUAACUGACGCUGAGGCACGAAAGCGUGGGGAGCGAACAGG
rnacentral:rRNA from 1 species